rnacentral:rRNA from 1 species
ACACGUGAGCAACCUGCCCCUCACUCUGGGAUAAGCGCUGGAAACGGCGUCUAAUACUGGAUACGAGACGCGACCGCAUGGUCAGUGUCUGGAAAGAUUUUUUGGUGGGGGAUGGGCUCGCGGCCUAUCAGCUUGUUGGUGAGGUAAUGGCUCACCAAGGCGUCGACGGGUAGCCGGCCUGAGAGGGUGACCGGCCACACUGGGACUGAGACACGGCCCAGACUCCUACGGGAGGCAGCAGUGGGGAAUAUUGCACAAUGGGCGGAAGCCUGAUGCAGCAACGCCGCGUGAGGGAUGACGGCCUUCGGGUUGUAAACCUCUUUUAGCAGGGAAGAAGCGAAAGUGACGGUACCUGCAGAAAAAGCACCGGCUAACUACGUGCCAGCAGCCGCGGUAAUACGUAGGGUGCAAGCGUUAUCCGGAAUUAUUGGGCGUAAAGAGCUCGUAGGCGGUUUGUCGCGUCUGCUGUGAAUCCCGAGGCUCAACCUCGGGCUUGCAGUGGGUACGGGCAGACUAGAGUGCGGUAGGGGAGAUUGGAAUUCCUGGUGUAGCGGUGGAAUGCGCAGAUAUCAGGAGGAACACCGAUGGCGAAGGCAGAUCUCUGGGCCGUAACUGACGCUGAGGAGCGAAAGGGUGGGGAGCAAACAGGCUUAGAUACCCUGGUAGUCCACCCCGUAAACGUUGGGAACUAGUUGUGGGGUCCUUUCCACGGAUUCCGUGACGCAGCUAACGCAUUAAGUUCCCCGCCUGGGGAGUACGGCCGCAAGGCUAAAACUCAAAGGAAUUGACGGGGACCCGCACAAGCGGCGGAGCAUGCGGAUUAAUUCGAUGCAACGCGAAGAACCUUACCAAGGCUUGACAUACACGAGAACGGGCCAGAAAUGGUCAACUCUUUGGACACUCGUGAACAGGUGGUGCAUGGUUGUCGUCAGCUCGUGUCGUGAGAUGUUGGGUUAAGUCCCGCAACGAGCGCAACCCUCGUUCUAUGUUGCCAGCACGUAAUGGUGGGAACUCAUGGGAUACUGCCGGGGUCAACUCGGAGGAAGGUGGGGAUGACGUCAAAUCAUCAUGCCCCUUAUGUCUUGGGCUUCACGCAUGCUACAAUGGCCGGUACAAUGGGCUGCAAUACCGUGAGGUGGAGCGAAUCCCAAAAAGCCGGUCCCAGUUCGGAUUGAGGUCUGCAACUCGACCUCAUGAAGUCGGAGUCGCUAGUAAUCGCAGAUCAGCAACGCUGCGGUGAAUACGUUCCCGGGUCUUGUACACACCGCCCGUCAAGUCAUGAAAGUCGGUAACACCUGAAGCCGG